rnacentral:rRNA from 1 species
UACGUAGGGUGCGAGCGUUAAUCGGAAUUACUGGGCGUAAAGCGUGCGCAGGCGGUUUUGUAAGACAGAGGUGAAAUCCCCGGGCUCAACCUGGGAACUGCCUUUGUGACUGCAAGGCUUGAGUGCGGCAGAGGGGAUGGAAUUCCGCGUGUAGCAGUGAAAUGCGUAGAUAUGCGGAGGAACACCGAUGGCGAAGGCAAUCCCCUGGGCCUGCACUGACGCUCAUGCACGAAAGCGUGGGAG